CCCUUCCCUCGUCCAGAUGGUCAGGAAAGUUGCACAAACCGUGCUGUUUAUACCCAAAUGCCCUCUUGUGUCACUCCCUUCCAAAUAAUUUAUAAUAAUUUGGCACACGGCAGCCACCUCCCGUUUCCUCCCAAUUCCGAAGAAGUUCUCAAACAGUCACAGCCCCGCGAGAAAUGGGAUGGUCAGAAUGACACCAAAAUACCUCAAGCUAUUUUUCCCAAAAUUCGGCCGUUCCUGCAAAUGGGCAUUCCAUCUGCAGGAACUCUUCCCCCCUCGAACAUCCACCGAGGUAAAGAAAGUUUCAAGUUGGAUAUUCGACGGAUAUUCGCGCUUUCAAACCACUUGAGCCAAAGACUCCAAAUAAGUGGCAAGAUGUUGGAAAAAUUGCGCACAACAUUAUUUUCACGAUUUGGACAUUAAUUCGCAUUCCAAAGCUAAUAAACAUGUGGAAAUGUGAGCACUAUUUGGUAUUCCUAGUCGAAUUAGUUAGGGAGCGUAAACAAAGUGCAAACUUUUUUACUUUCGAAUUUCAAUAGCUCCUUGUCUCAAACAAGUGUCAGAAUGUCCACUGGCUACCCUUCUGUAUUGCACACCCUUUGGUUUGUUCAUUUUCAUCUCACACGUUUUUACGUGAAUUGUUCAAACUUUAAAAUCGAAAUGGCUCCUUGGUCAUGUGACCUACUGACUUCAAACAAGGUUCAGAAUGUCCACUCGAAGACAAUGAGGCUGCAGGCCAGGUAUGUUUUUUUUCUCCAAAUGUUAAAGGAUUGUGAUAGUUUGUUUUCAGUUCAUGUUUAAGAGGACAAUAACUUUUCUAAAUGUGUUUCAUUUGCAUAUUGCAGGUCACAGCUCUGUGGCGAAGAAACAAUUGCGAGGUGGUGGUUGCUGAUGUGAGGUCUACAGACAAAAAAUCCUCUUUCCUUCUCCAACAUUCAGAGUUUAAAACUCUGCAGCCCCACAAAUGGCUUGUGGAUGAGACAAUCGAAUGGUACUUUCAAGCCACCACAAAAAGCUGUGGUCACGGUACAAAGAGUUACACCCUAAAUCAUUACUCAGCCCAAGUCAUUCUAAAUGGAGAAAGAAGUUCAGUGUGCAAGCAAAGUCUGCCCAAGUAUUUGCAUGAACCAUCAGGCCAAGUGUUCUUGGUUGACCCUGCUGGACAGAAAGAGAACGAGGAAUCGGAACACGCUGCAUUAAAAUUCAGAGAAUACUUCAAAAUGAGAAGAUCCUGCCAUGGAAAAGACGACUUGGUGGACAUAAAGUGGAAAGGAGGGGAAAUAACUCACAACAUGCAGGAGGACACCUUCAGCUGCGGGGUCUUUGUAAUGCAGUUGUGUGGGACAGCCAUAUGUUCAGUUCAUGCCUGUGAUGUCAGAGUUCAACAAAGCCAACAACUGCUUCAUGUGUGCCACUGAUAAAGAACCUGGAUGUGGCCCAAAGACUGGAUCGAAUAUUUUGCAUGCCAACGGUGGGUCCAUGUGCUGUGCCUAGGAAUGAAGACAAAAGAGUUCAACAGAGUAAAGAACACAAACUGGAAGUGCAGUCUUUGUUGUUGAAAAUCCACACUGAAGAGGCUCUGAAAUGUACAUCAACCAGGGAUAAAGAGAAAGUUAACACUGAAAUGUUUUGUACUUUGAAGAAAAGUGUCUGACAUGUUGGAAAAGAUUAAAGGUCUACAAUUUCCGUUUAAUUUGCCAAAAUAAAAUGUUUAUUCAUUGAUUUACUGGCCACCAUUACUGUGGUUACAUGUUCAUAUAUGUAUUGACCAGCAAACCCACUGCAGCCUACCUCACUAGCUCACUCUCCAUCCCUGCUUUGGACAAUUAUUAACAUGACUCUCGUACUUUGCCCUUUCCUUUAUGGUUGAUAUUAAUGAUGAAAGGAGAUAUUCUGUACAGCUGUUAAAUACUGAGGAGAAAUAAAUAAAAAAUAGGGAAAAUAAGUACUUAGAACUAUCAAUUAUUAAAGAUAAAUAUUAAAGAAAAGGGUAAACACAACACUGGACUGAAUCCCCUAAUUGUCAAACUAAUAUUAAUGAACAACAAUAUCGAAGAUACAUGACUAGAGGUUAUGCAAUAUGGGUGUAUAUCCACCACAUGCUUCCUAGGUGUCUAAUUGACCAAGGAGCUAUUGAAAUUUAAAACUAUGAAAAAUGUACUGCGUGAUUUUACAGUACACAAACAAGAGUGUGCAAUAUAUAAUGCUAGUCCGUAGACAUUCUAAAGUUUGAGUCUAGUAGGUCACAUGACCAAGGAGCAAUUGAAGUUUGAAAGUUUGAAAAAUGAAUGUAAAAUCGAGUGAGAUGAAAAUGGACAAACUAAAGGGUGUGCAAUGUGUAGGCUCACUGAGUGGACAUUCUGAACCUUGUUUGACGUCAGGUCACAUGACCAAGGAGCUAUUGAAAUUUGAAAGUUUGAAAAAUUCAUGGAAAAACAUGUGAGAUGAAAAUGGACAAACUAACGGGUGUGCAAUGGUAUCAAAAAUGGUAUAAAAAAAUCUGUAUACAAUCAACCUAUUCCAGACCAGUCUGCACGUUUUAAAGUUUGAAUGGCGUUUCUAUCAUUGAAAUGCAUUGGGAUUCAUGCACAUUUAUUUGUAGUGUGAAAAGUAUAAGUAGUAUCAAAACGUUUGACCAAAACGUUGAAAGCAACUUGGAGACAUUCUGCACCUUUUAAAGUUGCUUUAGUCUCGGUAGCAUUAGCUUUUUUUGCGCUAGAGGUUCCAGCAGAAGGCAAAUCAUAACUAUACUGAACAAAAAUAUAAACGCAACGUGUAAAGUGUUGGACCCAUGUUUCAUGAGCUGAAAUAAAAUAUCCCAGAAAUGUUCCAUGCACACAAAAAACGUAUUUCUCUCCAAUUUUGUGCACAAAUUUGUUUACAUCCCUGUUAGUGAAUGUUUAUCCUUUGCCAAGAUAAUUAUUCCACCUGACAGGUGUGGUAUAUCAAGAAGCUGAUUAAACACCAUGAUCAAUACUGUGCUGGUGACAAUAAAAGGCCACUCUAAAAUGUGCAGUUUUGUCACACAAUAAAAUGCCACAGAUGUCUCAAGUUUUGAGGGAGUGUGCAAUUGGCAUGCUGACUGCAGCAAUGUCCACCAGAACUGAUCCCAGAGAAUUGUAUGUUCAUUUCUCUACCAUAAGCCGCCUCCAACGUUGCUUUAGAGAAUUUUGUCAGUACGUCCAACUGGCCUCACAACCGCAGACCACAUGUAACAACGCUAGCUCAGGACCUCCACAUCCGGCUUCUUAACCUGCGGGAUCAUCUGAGACCAGCCACAUGAACAGCUGAUGAAACUGAGGAGUAUAUCUGUCUGUAAAAAAGCUAUUUUGUGGGGAAAAACUUAGGGCAGGGGCUGGGAUUAAAAAUAAAAUAAUAAAUUAAACAUGGCAGCAGCACAAAACAGGGUACAAACAUUAUUGGGCACAGACAACAGCACAAAGGGCAAGAAGGUAAAGACAACGAUACAUCACGCAAAGCAGCCACACCUGUCAGUAAGAGUGUCCAUGAUUGAGUCUUUGAAUGAAGAGAUUGAGAUAAAACUGUUCAGUUUGUGUAGUUGUGGCAGCUCGUUCCAGUUGCUAGCUGCAGCAAACUGAAAAGACGAGCGAUCCAAGGAUGUGUGUGCUUUGGGGACCUUUAACAGAAUGUGACUGGCAGAACGGGUGUUGUAUGUGAAGGAUGACGGCUACAGUAAAUAUCUCAGAUAGUGGGGAGUGAGGCCUAAAAGGGUGGUAUGGUAGCAACUGGUUAUAGUUGAAAAGUAGAUAGAUGGGACAAUUGAUUGAUUGAUUUAUUGAUAGGAUAGCCUGAACUUGUGAAAGUUAGUUUGGUGUCUUUAACUUGAAUGGUUCAAGAGUUGCUAUUGUUG
rnacentral:lncRNA from 13 species